rnacentral:lncRNA from 1 species
ACCUUCUGUCAGUUGAAUUGGGCUUGAAUUGGGCCUGAUUCACAAUCAAUUAGGUCUGCUGAGACCAACUCAGCUUAAUUGGGUUCGGACCCAUUUUAAUUUAACUUAAAUUAGCUCGAAUUUAACCCAAUUUAUAGUUUAGGCUCGUCCAGACUUAGCCCAAUCUAAUUGAGCUCGGAUUUAGACUUAGCCCAGUCUAAUUGGGCUUGGGUUAGUCAAAUUUGGCUAAACCCAUUUCAUUUUUUUUUC